CAUUCACAUCCAGUAGAGUUCUCAGUCUCCUGCAUGUCUACAGCAGAAAGCACUAUGAGUGUCAGCGGCAGUUAAAACUACAUUAAAUUCUGGCCUCUUAUCAGCAGUGUCACAGUGUCCCUGUCAGGUGGUGUGGUAAGUUGAGCUGGAAAGAGAUGGAUAGACUUGUGGAGGGAUCGGACAUUUUCACUUCGUGGUCAAGGUUGGGGAAUGUAUGUACUGGACAAGCUGGAAGUGCCUCAGCAUACCACACAGCUCCCCCAGCAGCUGUUUGCAGUCUUGUAGUCAUACACAAGACAAUUUAAGGGGUGACUGCCGUAAGUGGAAGGGGUGACCCAUCCUGUGCCAUUUUUACAAGGCUUAUUCCCAUCUCUUCAUCUCCUUUCAUCAGCAGAACAGUGAACACUGUGACCAGGAAUCAAUUGGAGGGUAAGCAGCAGCACCUGCCACAUUUUAUUGCUGCACACAUGUUUGAGGUAUUGUAGCCCCCUCACUAU
rnacentral:lncRNA from 12 species